rnacentral:rRNA from 1 species
ACACCGGUUGAUCCUGCCGGACCUGACUGCUAUUGGAGUAGGACUAAGUCACGCUAGUCAAAGGUGUAGAACGGAACACCUGGCAUACGGCUCAGUAACACGUAGUGAACCUACCCUGAGGACGGGGACAACCACGGGAAACUGUGGAUAAUACCCGAUAGAAAAUUUGGCCUGGAACGGUAUCUUUUCGAAAACUGACCCACCGAAGGGAACCGGGCCUCAGGAUGGCGCUGCGGCUGAUUAGCUAGAUGGUGGUGUAAAGGACCACCAUGGCAACGAUCAGUAUGGGCAAUGGAAGUUGGAGCCCAGAGUCGCCUACUGAGACAAGGAGGCGAGCCUUACGAGGCUUAGCGGUCGCGAAAACUCGCCAAUGCAAGAAAUUGCGAGUGGGCUACUCCAAGUGCCGUUUGUAAAGACGGCUGUCGCUCAGUGUAGAUAGCUGAGAAAGGAAGGAGAGGGCAAGGCUGGUGCCAGCCGCCGCGGUAAAACCAGCUCUUCGAGUGGUCAGGACGAAUAUUGGGUCUAAAGCGCUCGUAGCCGGGCAAGUAGGUUCUUGGUUAAACCUGCGAGCAUAACUCGUAGACCGCUGAGAAUACCGCUAGCCUUGGGAACGGUAUAGGGCAGAGGUAGUCAUGGGGCAGGGGUGAAAUCCAGUGAUCCCAUGGCGACCACCGAUGGCGAAGGCAUCUGCCUGGAACGUAUCCGACGGUGAGGGGCGAAAGCAAGGGGAGCGACCCGGAUUAGAUACCCGGUUAGUCCUUGCUGUAAACGAUGCGGACUAGGUGUUGCGACGGCCAUGAGCCAUCGCGGUGCCACAGUGAAGACGUUAAGUCCGCCACCUGGGGAGUACGUUCGCAAGAGUGAAACUUAAAGGAAUUGACGGGGGCGCACCACCAGGAGUGAAGCCUGCGGUUUAAUUGGAUUCAACGCCGGAAAACUCACCUGAGCUGACGGCAGGAUGAAGCUCAAGCUAAUGACUUUAGCUAACUCGCCGAGAGGAAGUGCAUGGCCGUCGACAGUUCGUGCCGUGAGGUGUCCUGUUAAGUCAGGCAACGAACGAGAUCCUCAUCCACAGUUGCCAGCGGAUUCUGCCAGAAUGCCGGGAACCCUGUGGAGACUGCCUAGGCGCUAAGCCGGAGGAAGGAGAGGGCAACGGCAGGUCAGUAUGCUCCGAAAGCUCAGGGCUACACGCGGGCUGCAAUGGUUCGGACAAUGGGCUGUGACCCCGAAAGGGGAAACGAACCCCGAAACCGAAUCUCAGUCAGGAUUGAGGCUUGCAACUCAGCCUCAUGAAUAUGGAAUUCCUAGUAAUCGCUUUUCAUCAAGAAGCGGUGAAUACGUCCCCGCGCCUUGUACACACCGCCCGUCGUUGCAACCAACUGUGUUAUGGUUGAGGUAGCUGAUUUUAUGCGGCUGUCGAUACUGUGAUACGCAAGGAGGCAAAAGUCGUAACAAGGUAGCCGUAGGGGAACCUGCGGCUGGAUCACCUCCU